rnacentral:rRNA from 1 species
GACGACGCUGGCGGCGUGCUUAACACAUGCAAGUCGAACGAGUGGCGAACGGGUGAGUAAUGUCUGGGAAACUGCCCGAUGGAGGGGGAUAACUACUGGAAACGGUAGCUAAUACCGCAUACCAUCGGAUGUGCCCAGAUGGGAUUAGCUAGUAGGUGGGGUAACGGCUUACCUAGGCGACGAUCCCUAGCUGGUCUGAGAGGAUGACCAGCCACACUGGAACUGCGACACGGUCCAGACUCCUACGGUAGGCAGCAGUGGUGAAUAUUGCACAAUGGGCGCAAGCCUGAUGCAGCCAUGCCGCGUGUAUGAAGAAGGCCUUCGGGUUGUAAAGUACUUUCAGCGAGGAGGCGUUACUCGCAGAAGAAGCACCGGCUAACUCCGUGACAGCAGUCGCGGUAAUAC